rnacentral:misc_RNA from 1 species
GAUGAAGAACGUAGUGAAAUGCGAUAAGUAAUGUGAAUUGCAGAUUUCCAGUGAAUCAUCGAAUCUUUGAACGCACAUUGCGCCCCUUGGUAUCCCGAGGGGCAUGCCUGUUCGAGCGUCAUUUCACCACUCAAGCCUGGCUUGGUGUUGGGCGACGUCCCCUUUGGGGACGCGCCUCGAAACGCUCGGCGGCGUGGCACCGGCUUUAAGCGUAGCAGAAUCUUUCGCUUUGGAAGUCGGGGCCCCGUCUGCCGGAAGACCUACUCGCAAGGUUGACCUCGGAUCAGGCAGGGAUACCCGCUGAACUUAAGCAUAUCAAUAAGCGGAGGA